AACGUAGGGGGCGAGCGUUGUCCGGAAUUACUGGGCGUAAAGGGUGCGUAGGCGGUCGUUUAAGUCCUGUGUGAAAGGCCCCGGCUUAACCGGGGAGAGCCAUGGGAAACUGGGCGACUUGAGUGUCGGAGAGGGUUGCGGAAUUCCCGGUGUAGCGGUGAAAUGCGUAGAGAUCGGGAGGAACACCAGUGGCGAAGGCGGCAACCUGGACGAUGACUGACGCUGAGGCACGACAGCUGGGGGAGCAAACAGG
rnacentral:rRNA from 1 species